rnacentral:misc_RNA from 1 species
GAUGAAGAACGUAGUGAAAUGCGAUACUUGGUGUGAAUUGCAGAAUCCCGUGAACCAUCGAGUCUUUGAACGCAAGUUGCGCCCGAAGCCACUAGGCCGAGGGCACGCCUGCCUGGGCGUCACACGCCGUUGCCCCCCCAUCUACUCCUUCGGGAUUGCGGGGGGGCGGAUGAUGGCCUCCCGUGCGCCUAGCCGCGCGGUUGGCAUAAACACCAAGUCCUCGGCGACGCACGCCACGACAAUCGGUGGUUGCGAAACCUCGGUUGCCCGUCGUGUGCGUUCGUCGCGCAUCGAGGGCUCGAAAAAAUGCUCGGCUCCGGCUGGGCUUUCAACGCGACCCCAGGUCAGGCGGGGUUACCCGCUGAAUUUAAGCAUAUCAAUAAGCGGAGGA